rnacentral:lncRNA from 1 species
UAAUAAGGAUACAAAUGUAAAAGUACAUAUUUUCACCUUUUUAAGUUGAAAAAAACAAACAACUUAAUACUUAUUUUCCGAGAUUCAAACGAAAAAACAAACAUAUUAUUCAGAUUCAGACAUUCAGAUCUAUUUAGAAUUCAGACUAAUUUAUGUCUAUUCAGAUUUCAGACAAAAAAACAAACGUCACCAAAGAGUUUAAUGCACUUAUUAAUCAUCUACUCCUUUACUGUACUAGCCUAUUUACUUAUUUUAUGAGGUUUUGACUUAAUUAUUUUCACUAAUUUUUUUCUCCCAUUCGCGUUUCUUUACAUGUAAGAAUUUUAUUUAAUUUAUGGCAACAAAGAACUAAGUAUUUUACUUUCUUAAGUUUUUUUAAACUUUACUAAAAAAUUAAUGGAGAUCCAAGCUUAGCCCAAGCAUGUAUAGGUCUGACCAAUUCACAUUUAGAUGGGCUUUUAAAGGGCUUUGGUUUAUUAACAAUAAUAUAAGCUUGGGUCAGGCUUUUCCCUCAAAUAGCCAACUUAUGUGUUGGUAGGCAGUAAAAAUGGGUUGUCGUAUUGUGAUAAAUUUAGAUGAAUUCAAACAUAAAUCAUUUAAUAAUCGUAUUUAUUUGGGGAAUAAAUAAAGGAAUUAAAAUAAAGUGCUACGUUUGAUAAAGGGAUUUUAAUGGCUGAGAGUUAACCUGGUGGGGUACCCGACCUGCACUGAGGAUACUCUCCAGAUGACCUAAUACGUGGGGUACACCAUGACAAAAUCAAGGAAUUAAAGAAAAUAUCCAAAAAAUGGUCAUGACACUGCUGUCUUUAUCACCUGAUAGGAAUAUUUGAUUUGAUUAAUCAAAUCAAAUAUAUUAUGUCAGGAAAAGAGAGACAAGUGGUUGUAAUAAUAGUAAAAAUUAGAAACAACCUACAAGGGACAGUGGUCCUUAGCUACCACGCCCAUUAUUGUACAGACAGCCUCUGCAAAAGAAAUCUUGGACCAUUUACAGCAUACGCCACGUGCACUAAACGACAGCGCCGACCAAAAAACCACAUUUUUGCUCUCUAAGCAUGUUCCUAACGGUUAGAAAACCGUUAUAUUGGUAAAAAGACGUGAGAGUUUCAGAAAAGAUAAAAGAAUCAUCAUUAAAAAUAUGCCACAUGGCAAGGUACCUAGACUGUACAAUAUAAAAGCCAAAAAAGGUUUGAUCUCACACACACUCUAAGACUCAUCACAAACGCACACACAAAACCAAAGGGCUGAGGUCUUCUUCAAUCUUCAGCCAUUAUUUUUCAGAGAGCUUAUAAGCUCUCAUCCCAAAAAAAAGGUUCAAGUAGCUGAUUUGAGCAUUGGAGUGUAGUUGCGGGCCACCGCCGGAUCCACUUCUAACCUUAUUUCUUUGUUUUGCAAGUUUAAAAGUACCCUUUCAAAGUUCCCACAUUCCAAAUCUGACUUCUCACCAUCUUCUACUCUUUGUCAUCUCCUUUAAAGCCCAAAACAACCCUUACACCACAGUUAAGUGAGGUACCCUGAUCCCCAAAAAAUAAAUUCAUUGUUUUGGUGAAGUUUUGUCUCAUUUCCUUGUAAUCCAAAAUCUACUUAAAGCAGUGUCAAAAAGUUAAAACCUAAAUUUGCGUUGGUAAGUUAAUAAUAUGAUAAUCUUGUCACAGAACACAAUAAGACCACUAAUCCUCUCAAUACACAUUUAAAACAGUUGACAUUAUAUAUCAUCUACACAUUAACACAAAGUGCACUCACGUAUAUAUCUAAACAAUAUUGUGAUAUAAUAUACAUACAUUAAUAGAGACAAAAUACAUUCAUACUUAAACAAUAUUUUAUAGUUUGGUCCACUUUUGAAACUUAUUUAGUUUUUAUCUCAAAUUUUGCAUCAACAAUUAUUACUUGCUAUGUAUAAUGUGUUGGUUGACUUUAUUAUCUAUUUAAUAAUAUGGUAAUUCUACAUCAUCUAUUAGUGAAUGACAAGUUAAAUGUCAUACCAUUUAAUGUGUAGACUAAGUUCCUAACCUUAUAAGUACAACAUUGCUUGUUUAUCAUCUAUCAGUGAAGGAUAUACUAAAUGUCAUAUCAUUUACAAAAUGUAAGUCAGCAUUACUUAUUUAUCAUCAUUUAUCAGUGAUGUGUAGAUUAAGUGUCCUCCUUUCCUUUCUCUUAUUCUCUUUUCCCCUCUUCUUUCUCCUCAUUUCUUCUUUCUUGCAACCAAACAUGGUUUCGGUGGUGUUUGGUGGAAGGAGAUGAAGGAGAAUAGGAAAGUAUUUUGAAUUCCUUUCUUGUUUUUGAUGUUUGGUUAACCAUAAUUUAUAAGAAUUUAAUUUCCAUUAGAAUUUAAUAUACAACUUAAGAGUGAUGAAUUCAAAAUCCUCUUCUAUUGGAAGCCAAAACAUCCAAAAUUACCUCUUCAGUCUUUGCUAUCAAAUUAUUAUUAUUUACAAUUUGAUUUUAUCAAUUUAAUUUUACAGAUAACGAAUUUUAUAUUAACAAAAGUUAAAGAAAUGAUCUAAACAAUUUAAAAAAUUACUUUUAUUAAUUAAUUAAUUUACAAAAAUAGAAAAUAUAGAUUUAAGUCAUUAAAAAGUCGUCGUUGUCCCCACUAGUGAGUGGGACGUCAAUGCUAGUACUGUUGGACUCACUGGUUGAUGAACAAUGUUUUUCUUCAAAUCCGGUUAAAAAGUUUAAAAACUUUCUAAUUUUUCUAUAUUCGGACAAACAUCAAGUAUUUCGCCAAAUAAAUUUCUUUAAUCUAUAAAUCAUUAAUUU